rnacentral:rRNA from 1 species
GACGAACGCUUUCUUCUUUCUUAACACAUGCAAGUCGAACGGAAAGGCCCUGCUUUUGUGGGGUGCUCGAGUGGCGAACGGGUGAGUAACACGUGAGUAACCUGCCCUUGACUUUGGGAUAACUUCAGGAAACUGGGGCUAAUACCGGAUAGGAGCUCCUGCUGCAUGGUGGGGGUUGGAAAGUUUCGGCGGUUGGGGAUGGACUCGCGGCUUAUCAGCUUGUUGGUGGGGUAGUGGCUUACCAAGGCUUUGACGGGUAGCCGGCCUGAGAGGGUGACCGGCCACAUUGGGGCUGAGAGACGGCCCAGACUCCUACGGGAGGCAGCAGUGGGGAAUAUUGCACAAUGGGCGGAAGCCUGAUGCAGCAACGCCGCGUGCGGGAUGACGGCCUUCGGGUUGUAAACCGCUUUCGCCUGUGACGAAGCGUGAGUGACGGUAAUGGGUAAAGAAGCACCGGCUAACUACGUG